AAAUUUUAUGGUACAAGUUUUGCAUACUUGUUUAAAAGGGAAAUUGGUGCAAAUCCAAUGCUGUCCCGCAACUGUAAAGUGGAGUAUUUACAAAAAAUACCACUGUCUAAUAGAUGGGAAGGUUUGUAAAUAUGUUGAAGCGAAGCCAGGAGACCUGCCAUAAAAUAU
rnacentral:ncRNA from 1 species